UACGAAGGGGGUUAGCGUUGUUCGGAAUUACUGGGCGUAAAGGGCGUGUAGGCGGUCCGCUAAGACAGGUGUGAAAUUCCUGGGCUCAACCCAGGACGUGCGCCUGUGACUGACGGACUUGAGUCCAGGAGAGGAUGGUGGAACUCCCAGUGUAGAGGUGAAAUUCGUAGAUAUUGGGAAGAACACCCGUGGCGAAGGCGGCCAUCUGGACCGGUACUGACGCUAAGGCGCGACAGCGUGGGGAGCAAACAGG
rnacentral:rRNA from 1 species